UUUGAGUAUUACCAAGAAAUGGAAGUCUGGAACAUGUUAAAUAUCAAUAUUAAUUAAUGAGUCUUGGACACAUACAGGAAAUUGCCUUAAACCUCCAACCUUUUGAAAACAUCUUCAAGUGGGAUUACUGACAUAAAGGAUUUGAUCUAAUUAUCAGUGCUAAUUUCCUUUAUGAUGGUGGUAGCAACACUUGUUAAAAAGGCGCAGUCAAGAUUAGUCACCUACAGUAUUAUGUUAAUCCCUUAUCUGUAUUACUAAUAUUUUAAAUCUUUCAGAAAUUAUCACCACCAGUGCUGCUUCACAGUUUAUUCAGCGUAGGCAAUUAGAUGGCUCAAUUUUCUCAUCCUGAUGUGCUGGUUUGAGGGCUUUGUUUCUUGAAGCUUUCUUCCCCGGAAAUUGGCAUUAUUGGUUACACUUUUCCAGCCUUUGUGUGAUUUGAAAUGCUAGCUGUACACUAUAAGGGUAGAAGGCAGGUAGAUAGAUUGAAAUGAUUUAGCAAGAUUAUGUGUUCUUCCCUCUGGCUUAGCCAUUAGAGGUAAGCAAACUCUGUGGAAAUAAACAAAAUCCAAGAAAAUGGUGAUGAGGGGGAAGGAGAAUAAUGACCAAAAAAUAAAUAAAUAAAGGCAUCUGUGGGAAGAUACAGCACCUUCAUCUCACCGAUGAGAUUUUUUUUUUAAGGCAUGCAUGAAAUAAGCAGUUGUGAUGGGGCCUGGGAGCUCAAAGCCUGGCACUUUUUACCAGGAUGGAGCAAGGACGUCUUGUGGAGGUGGUGGGAGCUAUGUGCUCCUCAAACACUGUGUAGUGUUGGGAAGGAGAGACAGGCUCUCCUAGCUUCCUGGGGAGCAGUUAGUGCUAGACUGUCAGUCACCAUGCCUUAGCAGGCCAAAUUCUCUGAGAAAAGAAAGCCCCUGAGGUCUUGGAUGCUCUUUGAGCCCCAGUAUCUGCCAAAAGAACAUGUAGUCUCAGGAAGGCUCCUGAAGGAACCGACCAGCUCAGUCCCCUCUGAGCCUUCAGCCUUGGGAACAGAGAAAACUCAGCUGACAACUUGCUGCCUCCGCUGCUGACACAGAGAAAUGCUACCUAUCUGUGCAGUUCAUUAUCUGCUACUUGGAUCUUAGUGAGUAAAGUUGCUGCUGAAGAAAUCCCAUAGUCACCAGUGUCAUAACAGACAGCACAACAUGCUAUCAGCCCUUAAAUGUCCAACUCAUCAACACAAAUUGGUUCUUCUGAACAGCAAUCGCAUGCAGAGAUCAGGUUUCCCUUGACAAUCCUUUUUUCUCUUCUGUCCUGAUUUUCUUUCUCAUACACUUUGAAUGAUCAAGUGAUCUCUUCUUACAUAGAUCUUCUAGUAUUUUAAUUGGCACACAGUCCGCAUCUGGAAACAAAUGUCUUGUAUUGGUGCUUUGAUUUGUUUCUAAUGCUGUUUAUUGACAACUGUUUCUGGGUAAUGAUCUAAACCUCUGCAGUGCUUUUAUAUAAACACACGAUGCUUUGAUAGGGAAUAACGGGCUGGGACAGGGCAGCUGGCAGGCUUUGAUUCAGCCAUUGUGCCUACAGGUACAGGACCUAUCACCUGCUCCUGAGCAGACAGCAAUUAAAAAAGUACCACUUUUUAGAGAGCUGUCUCACUGCUGCGCAUCAAAACAAUUGAGCAAUAAAGGGCAAUGCACGAGAGAAAUGUGAGAAAACCUGGCAAAUUCCUGUGUGACAGUGACACCCAUUCAUAGUUCUGCAAAUUGGCAAAUAAAGGUGAUAAUAACAAUAAUAAUAAAAAAGGAACAAAGAUGGUGAAUCACAAAAAAGCACUUGAUCUUGAAAAUUGCUAAUUGUCUAUACCUUUCUAAUGUUCUGGAGCAGAUUUCAUAAGAGUAAUAAACCUUUGGUAAUGUGGUACCUCUCCCCUGUAAACGUCGAUCUUUGCCGAGCAGAGCAGCAAUAUUAUUGUAGGCAGUGUAAGCUUCUGAAGUGGAAACCACCUUGCCUGAGAAGAGGAGAGGUAUAACGGAGAGGCCAGGCUCUCUUUUAGCAUCAACAUGGCUGAGACUACCAUUUUCUUUAGAGAGAACAGUACACCCAACUCCUGUUCAUCUUGGAAAAAACAAUGACAAUAAAAGCAACAAAGCCGUA